rnacentral:rRNA from 1 species
CGUUCCCGGGCCUUGUACACACCGCCCGUCACACCAUGAGAGUUGGCUGUACCAGAAGUUGUUGGACUAACUCUGCACCUAACUGUUUAUAUCAGCUGAGAUUUUUAACGCAAAUUGGUCAUUGCGAAAAGGAAUUUAUAUUAAAAUCAAGGUUGGAGUAAAGAGUUAGGUGCAGAGGGGUAGGCACCUAAGGUAUGGUUGGCGAUUAGGGUGAAGUCGUAACAAGGUAGCCGUUGGGGAACCAGCGGCUGGAUCACC